UACGGAGGGUGCAAGCGUUAUCCGGAUUUACUGGGUUUAAAGGGUGUGUAGGCGGGCUAUUAAGUCAGUGGUGAAAUCUCCGAGCUUAACUUGGAAACUGCCAUUGAUACUAUUAGUCUUGAAUUCUGUUGAGGUAGGCGGAAUAAGUCAUGUAGCGGUGAAAUGCAUAGAUAUGACUUAGAACACCGAUUGCGAAGGCAGCUUGCUAAACAGAAAUUGACGCUGAGGCACGAAAGCGUGGGGAU
rnacentral:rRNA from 1 species